rnacentral:rRNA from 1 species
AUUGAACGCUGGCGGCAUGCCUAAUACAUGCAAGUCGAACGGAAGCAGCAAUGCUUUAGUGGCGAACGGGUGAGUAACACGUAGGGAACCUACCUAUACGACGAGGAUAACUACUGGAAACGGUAGCUAAAACUGGAUAGGAUCAAUUGAGGCAUCUUGAUUGAUUUAAAGAUCCUUCGGGAUUACGUAGAGAUGGCCCUGCGGCGCAUUAGCUAGUUGGUGAGGUAACGGCCCACCAAGGCGACGAUGCGUAGCUGAGCUGAGAGGCUAAACAGCCACACUGGGACUGAGACACGGCCCAGACUCCUACGGGAGGCAGCAGUAGGGAAUUUUCGGCAAUGGGGGAAACCCUGACCGAGCAAUGCCGCGUGAACGAUGAAGGUCUUCGGAUUGUAAAGCUCUUUCGGACGGAAAGAAAUCGCCGCCUCUAACAUAGGCGGUGGAUGACGGUACCGUAAGAAGAAGCACCGGCUAACUACGUGCCAGCAGCCGCGGU